UACGGAGGGGGCUAGCGUUGUUCGGAAUUACUGGGCGUAAAGCGCACGUAGGCGGCUUUGCAAGUUAGAGGUGAAAGCCCGGGGCUCAACUCCGGAAUUGCCUUUAAAACUGCAUCGCUAGAAUUGUGGAGAGGUAAGUGGAAUUCCGAGUGUAGAGGUGAAAUUCGUAGAUAUUCGGAAGAACACCAAUAACGGCGAAGGCAGUUAACUAUUCUGCUACUGACAUUGAGGCACGAAAGCGUGGGGAGCAAAACGG
rnacentral:rRNA from 1 species